rnacentral:rRNA from 1 species
UUUAGGGCUAGCCUCAAGUGAUGAUUGUUGGAGGUAGAGCACUGUUUGGACGAGGGGCCCCUCUCGGGUUACCGAAUUCAGACAAACUCCGAAUGCCAAUUAAUUUAACUUGGGAGUCAGAACAUGGGUGAUAAGGUCCGUGUUCGAAAGGGAAACAGCCCAGACCACCAGCUAAGGUCCCAAAAUAUAUGUUAAGUGGAAAAGGAUGUGGCGUUGCCCAGACAACUAGGAUGUUGGCUUAGAAGCAG